UCGAGAAUAGUCUACAAUGGACGAAAGUCUGAUAGUGCGACGCCGCGUGAACGAAGAAUCCCUUCGGGGUGUAAAGUUCUUUUAUAUGUGAGCAAUGCUUCCUAGGUGAAUAGUUUAGGGAGAGAGAUAUUAGCAUAUGAAUAAGCAACGGCUAACUCCGUGCC
rnacentral:rRNA from 1 species